rnacentral:rRNA from 1 species
AACGAACGCUGGCGGCGUGGAUAAGACAUGCAAGUCGAACGGAAAUUCGCUGGUAGCAAUAUUAGCGGAUUUUAGUGGCGAAAGGGUGCGUAACACGUAGCUACCUACCUUCAAGUGGGGGAUAACUCCGAGAAAUCGGAGCUAACACCGCAUGUGAUCGUAAGAUUAAAACUGGGGAUCGUAAGACCUGGUGCUUGAAGAUGGGGCUGCGGCCUAUCAGCUAGUUGGCGGGGUAACAGCCCACCAAGGCGAAGACGGGUAGCUGGUCUGAGAGGACGACCAGUCACACUGGAACUGAGACACGGUCCAGACACCUACGGGUGGCAGCAGUCGAGGAUUUUUCUCAAUGGGGGAAACCCUGAAGGAGCGACGCCGCGUGGGGGAUGAAGGUCUUCGGAUUGUAAACCCCUGUCAUCCGGGAACAAUGCUCUGCACCCAAUACGUGCGGAGCUGAUAGUACCGGAAGAGGAAGCCGUGGCUAACUCUGUGCCAGCAGCCGCCGUAAUAC